GACGAACGCUGGCGGCGUGCCUAAUACAUGCAAGUCGAACGCUGAAGGAGGAGCUUGCUUCUCUGGAUGAGUUGCGAACGGGUGAGUAACGCGUAGGUAACCUGCCUGGUAGCGGGGGAUAACUAUUGGAAACGAUAGCUAAUACCGCAUAAUAGUAGAUGUUGCAUGACAUUUGCUUAAAAGGUGCAAUUGCAUCACUACCAGAUGGACCUGCGUUGUAUUAGCUAGUUGGUGGGGUAACGGCUCACCAAGGCGACGAUACAUAGCCGACCUGAGAGGGUGAUCGGCCACACUGGGACUGAGACACGGCCCAGACUCCUACGGGAGGCAGCUGUAGGGAAUCUUCGGCAAUGGACGGAAGUCUGACCGAGCAACGCCGCGUGAGUGAAGAAGGUUUUCGGAUCGUAAAGCUCUGUUGUAAGAGAAGAACGAGUGUGAGAGUGGAAAGUUCACACUGUGACGGUAUCUUACCAGAAAGGGACGGCUAACUACGUG
rnacentral:rRNA from 1 species